rnacentral:lncRNA from 1 species
CAUUAUUCAAAAUAUAGUCAAUACCAUAUGGUCAUAACAAGAACACGUGAGGAAAUACUACUCACAAGGUUCGACAUUAGCAACACUAAAUUGGCCUUGAAAUCUCGAUCAACGCAUAGCUCAUGAUAAUGUUCAAUCUUUAACACAAUUGCAUUCACUCUGCAGAAUAGAUGUUGAUUGUACGCGUAUUCAGCUUUGGAAAUGCGUCCCCUUGAGCAUUUACCGACUCCCUAGGUUAAGUAGACCAACGCCCUCUGUGCUUACACUUUACAUCUUUCGAAUUUUUCAGUUUAGUCUUCUUGAACAAAUGUCACUAUACCUUGAACAUAUGUGUCACCAUCAACGACAACAACCAACUUUUCAUUCACAUGACUAUUCCUUGAAAGCAAUAUGAAAAUGCAUCACAUUGUUAUUCACUUGAACCAAAAUAUGUGUAGAAGCAUUAACAAACUCAAUGAACAAUAUUACAUUGCUGAUGAACACAAUUCAUGAAGAAUGUGAACAUAACUAUAUUAAAUUGAACACCAAUAUAUCUUCAUUGAAC